UACAGAGGUCCCAAGCGUUGUUCGGAUUCACUGGGCGUAAAGGGUGCGUAGGCGGUCGGGUAAGUCUGAUGUGAAAUCUCACAGCUUAACUGUGAAACUGCAUUGGAUACUAUCCGGCUCGAGGAAUGGAGGGGAUAGCGGAAUUCCUGGUGUAGCGGUGAAAUGCGUAGAUAUCAGGAGGAACACCGGUGGCGAAGGCGGCUAUCUGGACAGAGUCUGACGCUGAGGCGCGAAAGCUAGGGGAGCAAACAGG
rnacentral:rRNA from 1 species